AUGACUGAUGUAGAAUCCUACAUGUUUGAAACUCAGUGAUCGAGAAUCAAGAUUCUCUGAUCACGAGUUCCACACAUUAUGGGUACCGGGGUCAAGAGUCCCACUGGUUGGGAUUUUUCGAUCAGGUUUACAUAUCGAUGAAUUCUGAUGCCUGAUUGCCCAUCGAAUUUGGACUUAGUAUUUAUGAGAGGUUUAAUUAGUGAUUUGAUCACUAAUUACCUCAAUUUGAUUGAGUAAUUAUUUUUGAAUCAAGUCUAAUUGAAUUGGAUUCAGUUGGGUUUGAUCCGAUUAGGUUAAGAGUUGACCUAAUCGUCGAGAUG
rnacentral:lncRNA from 1 species